GGACUGCCGGUGACAAACCGGAGGAAGGUGGGGAUGACGUCAAGUCCUCAUGGCCCUUAUAGGUGGGGCUACACACGUCAUACAAUGGCCGGUACAGAGGGUAGCCAACCCGCGAGGGGGAGCCAAUCCCACAAAGCCGGUCGUAGUCCGGAUCGCAGUCUGCAACUCGACUGCGUGAAGUCGGAAUCGCUAGUAAUCGCGGAUCAGCAUGUCGCGGUGAAUACGUUCCCGGGUCUU
rnacentral:rRNA from 1 species